rnacentral:rRNA from 1 species
UACGUAGGGUGCAAGCGUUGUCCGGAAUUAUUGGGCGUAAAGAGCUCGUAGGCGGUUUGUCGCGUCUGCUGUGAAAACUCGGGGCUCAACUCCGAGCUUGCAGUGGGUACGGGCAGACUAGAGUGCGGUAGGGGAGACUGGAAUUCCUGGUGUAGCGGUGGAAUGCGCAGAUAUCAGGAGGAACACCGGUGGCGAAGGCGGGUCUCUGGGCCGUAACUGACGCUGAGGAGCGAAAGCAUGGGGGAGCGAACAGG